rnacentral:lncRNA from 1 species
UAUGAAGAUGUGUUAGGCCCAAAGAAGUGGAGGCCUAGGCCCUUUUUUUUUUUUUUUUUUUUUUUUUUUUUUUUUUUUUACUCCCUCCCUUUUUCUUUGGAAUGUUUAUACAGAUAUCUAUAAUGUGGCCUUUGUCAUGAUUUUGGAGGAUGGGUGUAUUCGAAUCCAAUGAGGGGUAGGGUAUGACUCAUUAUCAUGUGCCAUGAUUUUGUCUUCCUUUAGCUUUUUUUUUUUACUUUGCUUUACCAUUUUUGCUUUCCUUUAGUCUUCCUUUAGCUUUUCUUCAAUAUAACACCAUUUUCUGUGGCUCAGAUCGCAAAACCAUCUUCAUGAAAGUUGUUCCUUAGCUCGUGAACUACAACAUAUCCGAAUUGGAGAUCCAUCGGAGCAGUACAACUCCAGAAAUUCAGGUAUGAUGAGUGAUUGUUCGUCAUUUGUAUAUCAACGCGUCAGACUUGUUGUGAGCUUCAAAAACUCCAUUUUCUCUUGCUCAGAUCAACAUACUUUCUUCAUCGAAGUUGUUCCUUAACUUGUGAACUACAACAUAUCCAAAUUUGAGGUCCCUCGGAGCAGUAUAACUCCAGAAAUCCAGGUAUGAUGAGUGACUGUUUAUCAUUUGUCUGUCAACCCGUCAGAUUUGUUGUGAGCUUUGAAACUCUAUUUUCUCUUGCUCAGAUCAGCAUGCUUUUUUCAUUGAAGUUGUUCCUCAGCUUGUGAACUACAACAUAUCCAAAUUUGAGAUCCCUCGGAGCAGUAUAACUCCAGAAAUCCAGGUAUGAUGAAUGACUGGUUAUUAUUUUUCUGUCAACCCGUCAGAUUUGUUGUGAGCUUUGAAACUCUAUUUUCUCUUGCUCAGAUCAGCAUGCUUUCCUCAUUGAAGUUGUUCCUCAGCUUGUGAACUACAACAUAUCCAAAUUUGAGAUCCCUCGGAGCAGUAUAACUCCAGAAAUCCAGGUAUGAUGAAUGACUGGUUAUUAUUUUUUCUGUCAACCCGUCAGAUUUGUUGUGAGCUUUGAAACUCUAUUUUCUCUUGUUCAGAUCGGUAUGCUUUCUUCAUUGAAGUUGUUCCUCAUCGUCUCUUUCAUAACAUAUCAAAAAUUCAGAAUGAACUAAUGGUUAAAUAUUUCCAGAUCUUCGAAACAUCACAGCAGCUUCGAAAUCUGCAAGAAUCCGACUGUCAUGUUUGGAGCUUCAACACUUUAAUUUCCGUCGCUCAAACAGAAAUGGUUCCUUCUUGAAAGUUGUUCAUAUGCUCAAGAACUAUAGGGUGUCCAAAAUUCAGCUCCAUUGGAGAAGAGCAGAGGUUGCAGAAAUUUGAUAGAUGAAAGGAGGCGGAAGAGGGAGAGAGAGAAAAAGUCUCUUGGGUUGGAUUUCUAUUUUGGGGCAGAUUCCAAUUUUUGUAGCACCUUCAUUAUUGAUGAAUUGCUUGUACUUUUGUCCAUUAUGAAACUUGGG